AAUAAUAUUCUGAAAAUUUUUAGUUAUUAAUUUGUAAAUUUGAGCAAAAGAAGCUGCUCGUUUAUUGAUGGAAUAAUGUGUUUAUAUACAUUUACAAAGAAUAAUCUAGAACAAAAGUAAUUUCCUAUUCUACCCUACCUUAUUUACAGGAUCAAGAAAAUAAACCUCUAACAAAUUUGUUAAAGCCUAUGAGCUGAGCUAGAGCACUAGAAUCUUCUCCUUUCUCCUCUAAAAUUUGUUACCUGAAGGAGAAAAUAUUAUCAGGUCCCCCCUCAAGAUGGAGACUCGUGUACAUCAUGAAGUACCAUCUUGAACAAGUGUUCAUUGAACAAGACAGAGGUGAGAGGUUUUGUAAAUAGAUCAGCGAGCCGGUGUCUAGAAGGCACAUGCAUGGUGGUGAUGAACCCAUGGUUUAUCUCAUCACGAACUACAUGACAGUCUAUUUCGAGAUGUUUUGUCCUCUUGUGAAAGACCGGAUUUGCUGCAAUGUGCUCUGCCGCCUUGUUAUCACAGUGUAAGGCAAUAGGAAGAGAUAGUUUCAAGCCAAAAUCAGAUACCAAUGAUGGUCCCAAGAAGAUGCAAAACCUAGUAAUGGACUUUCGACUCAUGGGACAAGAUGCCCAAUCUGCAUCACAAAAUGCUCGGAGCCUUAAAUCAUUAUCUUGUGGGAAGAAAAAGCUUUUGGAAGGAGAUCCUUUGAGGUACUUAAGGACAUGUAUGGCAGCAUCCCAAUGUGGCUUGCAAGGAACUUGCAUAAAUUGGCUCAAUUUUUGUGUGGUGUGAGAAAGAUCUGGCCUUGUGAGCCCCAGGUACAGGGUUGAUUGGUGAUUGUGUAUAACUUGUACAGGGUGUGGAAAUAGGAUUGGUGUUUGUGACAGAUGGUGUGUUACUGAUGGGUAAAUCAUGUGAAUGAACUAGAUCAGAAGUUCCCCCUUUGCUAUUACUUCCUCAGUCACUGGGUCUUGUAGGAGACAAUGGUCAGCAAAGAAUUUGAUAGAUAUAUUUGAAGUUUUGGUAAGAGCACUGACUGACAUUAAGUUAUAUUUAAAACUAGGUGUAUGAAGAACAUCAUGCAGAUGCAAAUGUGGUUUUAUGAAAAUAUUUCCACUGUGUUUUACAGGUUUGGUACUUCCAUCAGGCAGGGUAACAAAACAUUGGUCAUUCAAAUUUCUGGGGUUUUGAAAAAGUUAAAAAUCAUGACACAUAUGUGUGGAGGCUCCUGAGUCUACUAUCCAUAUCCCUUUGUUCUCACCAUGUUUGGUAAAGGAGUAGUAAGUUGGUUUCUUACCUGCAAAGCCUGUGUAAUUGACACAGCUUGCCUCAUUUGUUGCAAGAUUCUGGUUCUGCAUAUAUUUGGCAAUCUCCAGCUGAAUCAUAUGUGCCCAAUAAACUCCUGUUGCCUCUUUUUUAUAUUCUGACUUGCCAUCAUACUCAGAUAAAUGCUGUACAGGGUAUGGUUUUGUUUUAAGAAAUGCAGAUGGAGAUUUUCUUGUUGCUGGUUUAGGUUGGUCUUCAGGGAUGAGGGAAACGAAGGUUGCUGAGGCAAUUGCUCUGAGACAUGCGUUGAUGUGGUCGUGUAAUCAGCAAUACCAUCAUGUUCAACUGGAAGUUGACUGUGGAUCGAGUUGGUUCGUGGCGUUAAUUCUGCAGAGCAAGAUUUAUCAGAGUUUGGUGUUCUUUUGGAUGAUUGCCGGCAACUCAUUGCGCAGGGUCUUCAUUUAUCAAUUUGCUGGCUCCCACGGCAAGCAAACGCAUCAGCUCAUGCUCUUGCAAGAGCUUCAUGUCAGAAUGCUUCAUGUGUCUAUUGGUCAGAGCCUCCUCAGUUUAUGAGAGCUCACCUUUGUGAUGACAUUUCUGGUUGAUUCUAUGCAAUAUUAUUUUUAUUUAAAAAAAAAAAAAAAGGCAGCUAAUGGUUCAUUGGUACUA